rnacentral:rRNA from 1 species
CGCGGCCUAUCAGCUUGUUGGUGAGGUAAUGGCUCACCAAGGCGACGACGGGUAGCCGGCCUGAGAGGGUGACCGGCCACACUGGGACUGAGACACGGCCCAGACUCCUACGGGAGGCAGCAGUGGGGAAUAUUGCACAAUGGGCGAAAGCCUGAUGCAGCGACGCCACGUGAGGGAUGACGGCCUUCGGGUUGUAAACCUCUUUCAGUAGGGAAGAAGCCCCUUUUGGGGGUGACGGUACUUGCAGAAGAAGCGCCGGCUAACUACGUGCCAGCAGCCGCGGUAAUACGUAGGGCGCAAGCGUUAUCCGGAAUUAUUGGGCGUAAAGAGCUCGUAGGCGGUUUGUCGCGUCUGCCGUGAAAGUCCGAGGCUCAACCUCGGAUCUGCGGUGGGUACGGGCAGACUAGAGUGAUGUAGGGGAGACUGGAAUUCCUGGUGUAGCGGUGAAAUGCGCAGAUAUCAGGAGGAACACCGAUGGCGAAGGCAGGUCUCUGGGCAUUUACUGACGCUGAGGAGCGAAAGCAUGGGGAGCGAACAGGAUUAGAUACCCUGGUAGUCCAUGCCGUAAACGUUGGGCACUAGGUGUGGGGGACAUUCCACGUUUUCCGCGCCGUAGCUAACGCAUUAAGUGCCCCGCCUGGGGAGUACGG